rnacentral:rRNA from 1 species
UACGGAGGGUGCAAGCGUUAUCCGGAUUCACUGGGUUUAAAGGGUGCGUAGGCGGCGCGGUAAGUCGGGUGUGAAAUCUCGGAGCUUAACUCCGAAACCGCAUUCGAUACUGCCGUGCUUGAGGACUGGAGAGGAGACUGGAAUUUACGGUGUAGCGGUGAAAUGCGUAGAUAUCGUAAGGAAGACCAGUGGCGAAGGCGGGUCUCUGGACAGUUCCUGACGCUGAGGCGCGAAAGCUAGGGGAGCAAACGGG